UACGUAGGGUGCAAGCGUUGUCCGGAAUUAUUGGGCGUAAAGAGCUCGUAGGCGGUUUGUCGCGUCUGCUGUGAAAACUCGGGGCUUAACCCCGGGCCUGCAGUGGGUACGGGCAGACUAGAGUGCGGUAGGGGAGACUGGAAUUCCUGGUGUAGCGGUGAAAUGCGUAGAUAUCAGGAGGAACACCGGCGGCGAAGGCGGCCCUCUGGCUCGUUGCUGACGCUGAAACGCGAAAGCGUGGGGAGCAAACAGG
rnacentral:rRNA from 1 species